rnacentral:pre_miRNA from 1 species
UUAACAUCCUAAUCGUCGUACUAAAAUUCUCUCAUUGUUGGUACUUAUCUAUAUGUUUCGCAUAUGGGUGUUUGAGAGAGGGUUUCUGCCGAACUCAAGUCCCCGACCCGUGACCUCUUUGGGCUCGUAGAAAAUCUAGGUCAAUCAAGUUGGUGGACCUAGUUUUUCCAUCGGCCUGAAGAGGUCUCGGGUCGGGGACCCAGGUUUGGGAGGAAGACUCUCCCUUAGAACAACCACAAGCAAAGCGUGUGGAUAGGUACCAAUGAUGAGAGAAUUUUGGUAUGACGACUAGGGUGCUAG